AUACCUUUCUCGGCCUUUUGGCUAAGAUCAAGUGUAGUAUCUGUUCUUAUCAGUUUAAUAUCUGAUAUGUGGGCCAUGUGCCCACUUCGAUAUUAAAUUUAUUUUUUGUGGGGGAGGGUCCACCACAGUGGCUUGCCACUGGGGCCCUCGAGCGUCGCCCAGCCGUUGCACUGCUGGCAGGGCCUGGCGCGCCCCAA
rnacentral:snRNA from 2 species